CUUUAAAAACAUAUUUUUAAUAUCUUAUCAAUAUGUCCUAAGGUGGCAUCUUCUCCCAUCAUGCUGUAUGCACCCGCUAUCCAGUGAUGCUCUUGUCACACUUGCGCAUCAACAUUGAAUAACACAAGAUAUUUUUUUUUAAUGCCAGGCUGUGCACUGUUAGCCUUUUAUAUCAUGGAAAAAAAAAAGUUUGCUAUUUAG